AAUGCACAAGCGGCGCCGGAGCUACUCCGUACUCCACCGUGAAUCUUCCCGCACCACCAUGAACGGCGCUAAGUCCUUGCUUCAAGAUCCCUCCUCUCACUCAGCGGCGACUAUGACGACAAACUUCACCUUCUCCGAUCAAAACUCCGGCCAACGGCGCGACGGAGAAUCCUUCCUCUCCAAUCAAACAUACCGCACCGUCCGGUCACCAUCACUUCUCGACCUCUCUUCGGUUCUCAAUACCUUUCUCAUCUUCCCCGAUUGAGUCUUAUUCUGAGACCGUGUUGUUGAUGGUGCUAAGUGUAGAUGAAGAUUGAUGAUGAACUCGGACCAGUGAAGGUUGAAGGAGGUUAUGAAUUGAUUCACCGCGUGAGGAGCGUUGCAGAUUAGUGAUGAAGAUGAAGGCGAUGGGAUUGUGGAGCGUCUCGCGGAUUGUCGAAGCUUUGUAUUGAAUGGACGAAUUGCGAGUCGAAGGCGCGUUGCGAUAUUGCCUAUUGCAUAUGGUGAAUUGAUGAAGAUUAUAAAGAUUCGUUGUUGCCUUGGCUCUGAAGAAGAUGAUGAGUUGAAUUGAAGAUGAUGUUGUUCGGUGAAGGAGAUUGAUGAAGAUAUGUUGUGAUGCGCGUUGUACGAUGAUGAAGAUGAUCAAGUUUUGUUAGAUUCGUUAUAGAGAUGAAGAUGUAGGGAGAGGAUUUGUGAUUGAAGAUUGAUUGAAGGGAGAGAUUGCAGAGGUGAUGAAGACUGAAGGGAGAGGGAGAAUUGAAGAUGGUGGAACAAUGGUGAAGUGAAGGUUAUGAUCAACGAGAGAGAAAGCUCAGAGAUGAAGAAGCUAUGUCAUAUAGGUUGAUGGAAGAGAGGUCUGAAUGUAAAAUAAACGCGUGAACACCGAACCGUGAUAACUUGAAUGUUACGCAGCACUCAGAAUUUGGAUUGGACCGAAUGGCUCUGUCUUACUACUGUUGCAGGCUGCAGGUUGAAUUGUUGCAGAUAGUUUCACACCUUGGAUCGGUCUCCUCAUAUUGGAAGCUGCAAGUCAUUAGUUUCACACCUUGGAUCGGUCUCCUCAUAUUGGAAGCUGCAAGUCAUUAAUCUGUGGAAUUGAUGCGGCAAGUGCGCCCACUGAAAGUUUUGUUGAAGGGAUUUGGAAAUUGGAAAUCUUGAAGUAUAUAGAAAAAUGAAGAUGAACUGAGGCUCCUUUUUCUUUGUAAUUCUUUUGUAGUUAAAUCUUGGAAUUUUCUUUGAAAUGGACUUUGAAACGGUAUUUGAAUGAAUGUAAUAUGGAUUGUGUAAUAGGAAUAUGGAUUUUUUGUAAUGAAUUUGUAUUGCAAACGCAACAGACUUUUGGGACAUAUGUGCAUGUAUGGACAAUUGGUUUUAUGAUGAACGUUGAAGUUACUUGAAUGAUGAA